CGAGGCCGAUAGGCGUAGGCGAUGGACAACAGGUAGAGAUUCCUGUACCAGUGCUAAUUGUUUAACCGAUGGGGUGACACAGAAGGAUAGGGAAUCGCACGAAUGGAAAUGUGCGUCCAAGCAGUGAGUGUGAGAAGUAGGCAAAUCCGCUUCUCGCGAAGCAUGAGCUGUGAUGGGGAAGGAAAUUAAGUACGGAAGUUCCUGAUUUCACGCUGUCAAGAAAAGCCUCUAGGAAGAGUAGUACUGCCCGUACCGCAAACCGACACAGGUAGAUGAGGAGAGAAUCCUAAGGUGAGCGAGAGAACUCUCGUUAAGGAACUCGGCAAAAUGACCCCGUAACUUCGGGAGAAGGGGUGCUCUAUUAGGGUGCAAGCCCGAGAGAGCCGCAGUGAAUAGGCCCAGGCGACUGUUUAGCAAAAACACAGGUCUCUGCAAAACCGUAAGGUGACGUAUAGGGGCUGACGCCUGCCCGGUGCUGGAAGGUUAAGAGGAGUGCUUAGCUUCGGCGAAGGUACGAAUUGAAGCCCCAGUAAACGGCGGCCGUAACUAUAACGGUCCUAAGGUAGCGAAAUUCCUUGUCGGGUAAGUUCCGACCCGCACGAAAGGCGCAACGAUCUGGGCACUGUCUCAACGAGAGACUCGGUGAAAUUAUAGUACCUGUGAAGAUGCAGGUUACCCGCGACAGGACGGAAAGACCCCGUGGAGCUUUACUGCAACCUGAUAUGGAAUGUUUGUACCG
rnacentral:rRNA from 1 species